GACGAACGCUGGCGGCGUGCUUAACACAUGCAAGUCGAACGGAAAGGCCCUGCUUUUGUGGGGUGCUCGAGUGGCGAACGGGUGAGUAACACGUGAGUAACCUGCCCUUGACUUUGGGAUAACUUCAGGAAACUGGGGCUAAUACCGGAUAGGAGCUCCUGCUGCAUGGUGGGGGUUGGAAAGUUUCGGCGGUUGGGGAUGGACUCGCGGCUUAUCAGCUUGUUGGUGGGGUAGUGGCUUACCAAGGCUUUGACGGGUAGCCGGCCUGAGAGGGUGACCGGCCACAUUGGGACUGAGAGACGGCCCAGACUCCUACGGGAGGCAGCAGUGGGGAAUAUUGCAGAAUGGGCGGAAGCCUGAUGCAGCAACGCCGCGUGCGGGAUGACGGCCUUCGGGUUGUAAACCGCUUUCGCCGGUGACGAAGCGUGAGUGACGGUAAUGAGUAAAGAAGCACCGGCUAACUACGUG
rnacentral:rRNA from 1 species